rnacentral:rRNA from 1 species
AACGAACGCUGGCGGCAUGCCUAACACAUGCAAGUCGAACGAGACCUUCGGGUCUAGUGGCGCACGGGUGCGUAACACGUGGGAAUUUGCCUCGGGGUAUGGAAUAAACUCAGGGAAACUUGAGCUAAUACCAUAUAAUGUCUUCGGACCAAAGAUUUAUCGCCCUGAGAUAAGCCCGCGUAGGAUUAGCUAGUUGGUGAGGUAAAGGCUCACCAAAGGCGACGAUCCUUAGCUGGUCUGAGAGGAUGAUCAGCCA